rnacentral:rRNA from 1 species
UACGGGGGGAGCAAGCGUUGUUCGGAUUUACUGGGCGUAAAGGGCGCGUAGGCGGCGCAACAAGUCACUUGUGAAAUCUUCAGGCUUAACCUGAAGCGGCCAAGUGAUACUGUCGUGCUAGAGUGCGGAAGGGGCAACUGGAAUUCUUGGUGUAGCGGUGAAAUGCGCAGAUAUCAGGAAGAACACCGGUGGCGAAGGCGGCUCUCUGGGCCUUACCUGACGCUGAGGAGCGAAAGCGUGGGUAGCGAACAGG